rnacentral:rRNA from 1 species
GACGAACGCUGGCGGCGUGCCUAAUACAUGCAAGUUGAGCGCUGAAGGUUGGUACUUGUACCAACUGGAUGAGCAGCGAACGGGUGAGUAACGCGUGGGGAAUCUGCCUUUGAGCGGGGGACAACAUUUGGAAACGAAUGCUAAUACCGCAUAAAAACUUUAAACACAAGUUUUAAGUUUGAAAGAUGCAAUUGCAUCACUCAAAGAUGAUCCCGCGUUGUAUUAGCUAGUUUGUGAGGUAAAGGCUCACCAAGGCGAUGAUACAUAGCCGACCUGAGAGGGUGAUCGGCCACAUUGGGACUGAGACACGGCCCAAACUCCUACGGGAGGCAGCAGUAGGGAAUCUUCGGCAAUGGACGAAAGUCUGACCGAGCAACGCCGCGGGAGUGAAGAAGGUUUUCGGAUCGUAAAACUCUGUUGGUAGAGAAGAACGUUGGUGAGAGUGGAAAGCUCAUCAAGUGACGGUAACUACCCAGAAAGGGACGGCUAACUACGUG